UGCCAGUGAUAAACUGGAGGAAGGUGGGGAUGACGUCAAGUCAUCAUGGCCCUUACGACCAGGGCUACACACGUGCUACAAUGGCGCAUACAAAGAGAAGCGACCUCGCGAGAGCAAGCGGACCUCAUAAAGUGCGUCGUAGUCCGGAUUGGAGUCUGCAACUCGACUCCAUGAAGUCGGAAUCGCUAGUAAUCGUGGAUCAGAAUGCCACGGUGAAUACGUUCCCGGGCCUUGUACACACCGCCCGUCACACCAUGGGAGUGGGUUGCAAAAGAAGUAGGUAGCUUAACCUUCGGGAGGGCGCUUACCACUUUGUGAUUCAUGACUGGGGUGAAGUCGUAACAAGGUAACCGUAGGGGAACCUGCGGUU
rnacentral:rRNA from 1 species